UUGCAGAAAGAGUUUGAUGAACAGAAAAAGAAGGAGACCACCACCUCUAUAAAUCCAGUGUGUCUUCCAGUAUUCAAGCGAUUCCUUUCCAGGCUCCUUAAAGAAACUUCAAAACUCGGCCUGCCUGCUGAUGGACAGACAUCCAUGCAUUAUGACGCUGAAGUGAAGCUGUCCAAG